UUUUUUUUUUUUUUUUUUCCCAGAGGGCACUGGCAUGUAGGAGAAGCGGAUUUACCACUAGUAGAUGUUAAUGAAAUUUCAGCUUCUAGGCCCCUAACUUGCAGGACCUGCCCAAGGCCCUGAACUUAAUUUUGUUUUCAUCAUUUGGUAUUUUUUUGUUAAAAGAGCCACCGACCACCUCCCCGCUACCCCAGAACUGCACGUGUUUCUGGCCCUACAAACCCAGAUCGUCCCUUGGAAUAUACACAGGGCAAUUUGUGUAGGAUCACACUGCGCUAAAAGUGAGGCAUGGUGGGCUAGGCGCACUGGCUCACACCUGUAAUCCCAGCACUUUGGGAGACCAAGACAGGAGGUCUUAAGUGAUUAAGCCCAGGAGUUCGAGAUCAGCUUAGACAACAUAGCAAGAUGCUGCCUCUACAAACACACACACCCCCUAUUAUAAUAUGUCAAAAAAAAAAAAAAAAAAAGGAAAAGUGAGGCAUAGAACUGACUUUAUUGUUUUGACUAGGAAAGAGCAAAGGGUUUGGAAUCAAAAGUCCCAACUUCCCCACCUUCUUAAUAGUGUGUGAAUCUGAGUGCCUUAUUAACCUUCCCUGGUCCCAGUUUCGUAUCUGUAAAGUUAGAAUAGCAAUCCUGUUUAAUUUGCUUCUCUCACCAGGGAUCAGAAGGCCAAAUGAGAUGAUGUAUGUAAAAUUGUAAAGUCCUCCACAGAUGGCACUUGCCACAUUACAGAGAACUUGAGACCCCCCCCCACCAAUAACGUUCCAAAUCUUCCACAUGCAGAUCUGGAGUCCAGGUGUCCUGGCUCCUGGCCCUGAACUUUUUGGCUGGGCCAAGGGGCUUUUCGGUAAAGUGCUUUGGAAUAAAACAGGAUGAACAUGAAUCA
rnacentral:lncRNA from 10 species